rnacentral:rRNA from 1 species
CUAUCUGCCGUGGGCGCUGGAGAAUUGAGGGGGGCUGCUCCUAGUACGAGAGGACCGGAGUGGACGCAUCACUGGUGUUCGGGUUGUCAUGCCAAUGGCACUGCCCGGUAGCUAAAUGCGGAAGAGAUAAGUGCUGAAAGCAUCUAAGCACGAAACUUGCCCCGAGAUGAUUUCUCCCUGAGACUUUAAGUCUCCUGAAGGAACGUUGAAGACGACGACGUUGAUAGGCCGGGUGUGUAAGCGCAGCGAUGCGUUGAGCUAACCGGUACUAAUGAACCGUGAGGCUUAACCUUA